GCCUGGCUGGCUCAGUCGGUAGAGCAUGUGGCUUCUGAUCUCAGGGUCAUGAGUUCAAGCCCCAGGUUGGGCA
rnacentral:tRNA from 1 species